rnacentral:rRNA from 1 species
AUUGAACGCUGGCGGCAUGCUUUACACAUGCAAGUCGAACGGCAGCGGGGAGGAGCUUGCUUCUCUGCCGGCGAGUGGCGAACGGGUGAGUAAUACAUCGGAACGUGUCGAGAAGAGGGGGAUAACCACCCGAAAGGGUGGCUAAUACCGCAUAAAUUCUGAGGAAGAAAGCUGGGGACCUAGGAAUAGGCCUAGCGCUUUUUGAGCGGCCGCUGUCGGAUUAGCUAGUUGGUGAGGUAAAGGCUCACCAAGGCGAAGAUCUGUAGCGGGUCUGAGAGGAUGACCCGCCACACUGGGACUGAGACACGGCCCAGACUCCUACGGGAGGCAGCAGUGGGGAAUUUUGGACAAUGGGGGCAACCCUGAUCCAGCCAUGCCGCGUGUAUGAAGAAGGCCUUAGGGUUGUAAAGUACUUUUGUUAGGGAAGAAAAGUCAGCUGUGAAUAAUGGCUGAUACUGACGGUACCUAAAGAAUAAGCACCGGCUAACUACGUG